rnacentral:misc_RNA from 1 species
GAUGAAGAACGUAGCGAAAUGCGAUAAGUAAUGCGAAUUGCAGAAUUCAGCGAGUCAUCGAAUCUUUGAACGCACAUUGCGCCCCUUGGUAUCCCGAGGGGCAUGCCUGUUCGAGCGUCAUUUCACCACUCAAGCCUGGCUUGGUGUUGGGCGACGUCCUCUUUGGGGACGCGCCUCGAAACGCUCGGCGGCGUGGCACCGGCUUUAAGCGUAGCAGAAUCUUUCGCUUUGGAAGUCGGGGCCCCGUCUGCCGGAAGACCUGCUCGCAAGGUUGACCUCGGAUCAGGCAGGGAUACCCGCUGAACUUAAGCAUAUCAAUAAGCGGAGGA